UACGUAGGGUGCGAGCGUUAAUCGGAAUUACUGGGCGUAAAGUGUGCGCAGGUGGCCGCGCAAGUCGAGUGUGAAAUCCCCGAGCUUAACCUGGGAAUUGCGCUCGAAACUACUUGGCUCGAGUGUGGCAGAGGAAGGUGGAAUUCCAGGUGUAGCGGUGAAAUGCGUAGAGAUCUGGAGGAACACCGAUGGCGAAGGCAGCCUUCUGGGCCAACACUGACGCUCAUGCACGAAAGCGUGGGGAGCAAACAGG
rnacentral:rRNA from 1 species